GGAGAGAAAUGUCUGUUCAGUGGUAGAACCUAUGCCUUGUAUGCAGAAUGUCCCAGGUCCAAUCCUUGCCAUCUCCA